rnacentral:rRNA from 1 species
UAGGGAAUCUUCGGCAAUGGACGGAAGUCUGACCGAGCAACGCCGCGUGAGUGAAGAAGGUUUUCGGAUCGUAAAGCUCUGUUGUAAGAGAAGAACGAGUGUGAGAGUGGAAAGUUCACACUGUGACGGUAUCUUACCAGAAAGGGACGGCCAACUACGUGCCAGCAGCCGCGGUAAUACGUAGGUCCCGAGCGUUGUCCGGAUUUAUUGGGCGUAAAGCGAGCGCAGGCGGUUAGAUAAGUCUGAAGUUAAAGGCUGUGGCUUAACCAUAGUAGGCUUUGGAAACUGUUUAACUUGAGUGCAAGAGGGGAGAGUGGAAUUCCAUGUGUAGCGGUGAAAUGCGUAGAUAUAUGGAGGAACACCGGUGGCGAAAGCGGCUCUCUGGCUUGUAACUGACGCUGAGGCUCGAAAGCGUGGGGAGCAAACAGGAUUAGAUACCCUGGUAGUCCACGCUGUAAACGAUGAGUGCUAGGUGUUAGACCCUUUCCGGGGUUUAGUGCCGUAGCUAACGCAUUAAGCACUCCGCCUGGGGAGUACGACCGCAAGGUUG